rnacentral:rRNA from 1 species
UACGUAGGGUGCAAGCGUUAAUCGGAAUUACUGGGCGUAAAGCGUGCGCAGGCGGUUAUAUAAGACAGUUGUGAAAUCCCCGGGCUCAACCUGGGAACUGCAUCUGUGACUGUAUAGCUAGAGUACGGUAGAGGGGGAUGGAAUUCCGCGUGUAGCAGUGAAAUGCGUAGAUAUGCGGAGGAACACCGAUGGCGAAGGCAGCUCGCUGGGACGGUACUGACGCUGAGGCGCGAAAGCGUGGGGAGCAAACAGG